AAAAAUUCAGAAAACUCUCCCUUCUCUCCCUUUCAGCCCAGACUCCGCUCAACUUCCGGCGAGUGCUCCGGCUAUCGGCGUCGUCGCGCCGGCCACCGUGUAAAACCAAAAAAGGUAUUUUUUUUGCUUUUUUUUUUUUUACGUUUAUACGUUUUAUAUAUGUAAAAUAAAAGAAAUAAAAUCGAAUACAAUUAGUUUCGAAAGGAAGAAAAAUAAAAAGGAAAUUAGGAAAGGAAAUAGAUCUUAUACCGAAAAAAGUUUAUUGAAUCUGUUUUUUUUUCUUUUAUUUCUUGAAAUCGUGAAAAGAGAGCCUUUACAAUAGAUUUUCUUUGGCUUUAUAGCCGAUUACAUGUUAUUAUUUUUCUUUUUUUGUUCUUUGCGUGUCUUCUCCCCUUGCAGGUGGAGUCGGUGGCGACGUGACGUGACGGAGGCGUGUGAGGCGCAGUGGCAGGUGGGCAUAGUAGGGUAGGGCGGCAGAGGCUAGAAGAGACCUGAAGGCCCUAGGUACGGCGCCUAGGGUUUUUUCUUUCAUUUUGUUUGGCUGAAAAUGUUUAGUUUUGGGCUUAGGGUUUCAGUUUGGUAGUGGGCUGGUAUUGUAAUGUGGGCUUGUGGGUUGUAAUUGGGUAUUGGGUCUUUUAUUUAUAAUGGGCCCCGAGCAAAUUUGGGCUUUUACAGAGUUUAUAAGUGU
rnacentral:lncRNA from 1 species